AGUGAACGCUGGCGGUAGGCCUAACACAUGCAAGUCGAACGGCAGCACAGUAAGAGCUUGCUCUUACGGGUGGCGAGUGGCGGACGGGUGAGGAAUACAUCGGAAUCUACUUUUUCGUGGGGGAUAACGUAGGGAAACUUACGCUAAUACCGCAUACGACCUACGGGUGAAAGCAGGGGGUCUUCGGACCUUGCGCGAUUGAAUGAGCCGAUGUCGGAUUAGCUAGUUGGCGGGGUAAAGGCCCACCAAGGCGACGAUCCGUAGCUGGUCUGAGAGGAUGAUCAGCCACACUGGAACUGAGACACGGUCCAGACUCCUACGGGAGGCAGCAGUGGGGAAUAUUGGACAAUGGGCGCAAGCCUGAUCCAGCCAUACCGCGUGGGUGAAGAAGGCCUUCGGGUUGUAAAGCCCUUUUGUUGGGAAAGAAAAGCAGCAGGUUAAUACCCCGCUGUUCUGACGGGACCCAAAGAAUAAGCACCGGCGAACUUCGU
rnacentral:rRNA from 1 species